GACGAACGCUGGCGGCGUGCUUAACACAUGCAAGUCGAACGAUGACGACCGAGCUUGCUCGGUCUGAUUAGUGGCGAACGGGUGAGUAACACGUGAGCAACCUGCCCUUCACUCUGGGAUAACCCCGGGAAAUCGGGGCUAAUACCGGAUAUGAGCUCCUGUCGCAUGGCGGGUGUUGGAAAGUUUUUCGGUGAAGGAUGGGCUCGCGGCCUAUCAGUUUGUUGGUGAGGUAGUGGCUCACCAAGGCGAUGACGGGUAGCCGGCCUGAGAGGGCGACCGGCCACACUGGGACUGAGACACGGCCCAGACGCCUACGGGAGGCAGCAGUGGGGAAUAUUGCACAAUGGGCGAAAGCCUGAUGCAGCGACGCCGCGUGAGGGAUGACGGCCUUCGGGUUGUAAACCUCUUUCAGCAGGGAAGAAGCGAAAGUGACGGUACCUGCAGAAGAAGCGCCGGCUAACUACGUG
rnacentral:rRNA from 1 species